rnacentral:rRNA from 1 species
UACGGGGGGGGGGCAAGCGUUGUUCGGAAUUACUGGGCGUAAAGGGCGCGUAGGCGCCUUCUAAGUCAGACGUGAAAUCCCUCGGCUCAACCGAGGAACUGCGUCUGAUACUGGGAAGGCUUGAAUCCGGGGAGAGGGAUGUGGAAUUCCAGGUGUAGCGGUUGAAAUGCGUAGAUAUCUGGAGGAACACCGGUGGCGAAGGCGGCAUCCUGGACCGGUAUUGACGCUGAGGCGCGAAAAGCUAGGGGGAGCAAAC